CAAAUCCCUCACCUUUUCAACUUUCUUUGGAUAUUUUCGCUCCUUUAUUUUGGAAGGAUAUAUCUACUAUUGUCAUAAAUAAUUAACAAUCUCUCAAUUUUGGUGUGGAAUAGAGCUUGAUUUUAUUAAUUGGUAAGGGGAAUUUGAGAAUACUCACCACAAGAAGAAAAUGGGCUGAAUAGGGAAAAAUUAUUAUAUACGAUUGGAGUAUGUUGAAAUGAUUUUAUUUUGACUAUUUGAUUAUGGUGAGUUUGACAUUGUUUAAAGUGUAUGCGUUAUAUAUAUAUAAUGGUAUGGUUGUUUCGAAUAUAUUUGUUUUUGUUCUAACUUAUUAAAAUUUCCCUUUGCAACCAUAUUGUAGGUUCCAUUUGAAGA
rnacentral:misc_RNA from 1 species